CUGAUAUUAAAAAAAAACCAAGUUGAAGAAAACCUUUUUAACCUGGAAAAACAAAUAUAUCUUCUGGAAGAAGUUUAUUUUGAGGAAACCCAAAAUUUGGGAAAUAUAUUCAAGGGUUUUAAUGGUUUUUUAGAAGAUCUUUCUCGUAAUGCUGACACAAAGAGAAAUUUUCUAAGUACCAAACAAUUGGGUGAAGAUGAGUAUAUCUUCUCCAAGUCCUCCAGCAUGUACACUCGUUUUCUUAGCUUGAAUGAUAGCCAACCGGAAGACUCAGGAAGAAAAAAAAUAUUUUAAAAGAAAAAUUUUUUAAGAUUCAUUUUUUUUUUUUACCACCUCGUAUUUAAUAUUUUUAAUAUUAUAUAGAAGUUUAGUUAUAAAAACAAGUCCCAGUUUACUUGACG